rnacentral:rRNA from 1 species
AUUGAACGCUGGCGGCAGGCUUAACGCAUGCAAGUCGAGCGGUAACAGAGAGAAGCUUGCUUCUCUGCUGACGAGCGGCGGACGGGUGAGUAAUGCCUAGGAAUCUGCCUAGUAGUGGGGGAUAACUUGCCGAAAGGUAAGCUAAUACCGCAUACGUCCUACGUGAGAAAGGAGGGGACCUUCGGGCCUUUCGCAAUUAGAUGAGCCUAGGUCGGAUUAGUUAGUUGGUGGGGUAAUGGCUCACCAAGACCGCGAUCCGUAACUGGUCUGAGAGGAUGAUCAGACACACUGGAACUGAGACACGGUCCAGACUCCUACGGGAGGCAGCAGUGGGGAAUAUUGGACAAUGGGGGGAACCCUGAUCCAGCCAUGCCGCGUGUGUGAAGAAGGUCUUAGGAUUGUAAAGCACUUUAAGUUGGGAGGAAGAGCAGUUAACUAAUAUUUGACUGUUUUGACGUUACCGACAGAAUAAGCACCGGCUAACUUCGUGCCAGCAGCCGCGGUAA